rnacentral:rRNA from 1 species
CACAUGCAAGUCGAGCGAGAAAGUCCUUCGGGAUGAGUACACCGGCAGACGGGUGAGAAACGCGUGAGAAUCUGCCUUUGAGUGAAGAAUACCCGCGAGAAAUCGGGGUUAAGACUGCAUACGUCCUACGGGAGAAAGAUGGGCCUCUUUGCUGUCGCUGAAAGAUGAGGCUUGCGUACGUAUUAGCUAGGUUGGUGGGGUAAAAGCCGACCAAGGCGGAUGAUGGUUAGCCGGCCUGAGAGGGUGAACGGCCAGCACUGGAACGUAGACACGGGCCAGACUCCUACGGGAGGCAGCAGUGAGGAAUAUUGCGCAAUGGACGAAAGUCUGACGCAGCAACGCCGCGUGGAGGAUGAA